ensembl:lncRNA novel transcript
GAGGUGGGGGAGGGGGGAAGAGAGGCGCUCGGGGAGCUGGGACGGGCACCGGGUUGGGGGGUCCCGGAACCCCUGAAAGUUCAGUGACACCUCCAUAGUUCCCUCUUCCCCCUGCAACAAGAAUCACUCCAAACUUCCCAAACACUUUGGACCCAGCAAUUUCCAGGAGUUCAUCCUGAUGAGAGAACUGAAAGGUGUGCACACGUUAGUAACAAGGAGGCCUGGUGACCGCCUAAGCGUCCAAUCGCGGGGACCACCGGGUCGAGGCCGAGAGGAUGGAGACCGCAUCACAGGCACCUCGCUGCUGGAAUGGAGGGUGGUGGGGAGAACUUAGAAGAUUAUGCAAUGGGCUGGCAGGGCUAUACCCAGCCGCCCUGGUAAGCAGAAACUCAAGAAACCUCUAGGGUCCUGUUUUCUGGUCGUAUGAUCCCAGGAGUGCACAUGAGCCCCUCGGGUGUCUGAACAGAAGGGCAUAGGAGGGAGGGCCGCAGCCCUGCAGUCUUACUCUGCUGGUGUAGCGGUCACCUGCCAACUCCCACCCCACCCUGCACCGCGGGCUCCUGAGUCGGCAGAUUAAGCAUUUUAUAAAUUCUAUUUUAAAUACGUGUUUUAAACUUGUCA